AUUGAAACACGAGUUCCUGUCCGAUCACUGAAGUUAAGCAACAUCAAGCCUGGUCAGUACCUAGAUAGGUGACAGCUUUGGAAUACCAGA